UCCUACGGGAGGCAGCAGUGGGGAAUAUUGCACAAUGGGCGCAAGCCUGAUGCAGCGACGCCGCGUGCGGGAUGACGGCCUUCGGGUUGUAAACCGCUUUUGAUCGGGAGCAAGCCUUCGGGUGAGUGUACCUUUCGAAUAAGCACCGGCUAACUACGUGCCAGCAGCCGCGGUAAUACGUAGGGUGCAAGCGUUAUCCGGAAUUAUUGGGCGUAAAGGGCUCGUAGGCGGUUCGUCGCGUCCGGUGUGAAAGUCCAUCGCUUAACGGUGGAUCUGCGCCGGGUACGGGCGGGCUGGAGUGCGGUAGGGGAGACUGGAAUUCCCGGUGUAACGGUGGAAUGUGUAGAUAUCGGGAAGAACACCAAUGGCGAAGGCAGGUCUCUGGGCCGUUACUGACGCUGAGGAGCGAAAGCGUGGGGAGCGAACAGGAUUAGAUACCCUGGUAGUCCACGCCGUAAACGGUGGAUGCUGGAUGUGGGGCCCGUUCCACGGGUUCCGUGUCGGAGCUAACGCGUUAAGCAUCCCGCCUGGGGAGUACGGCCGCAAGGCUAAAACUCAAAGAAAUUGACGGGGGCCCGCACAAGCGGCGGAGCAUGCGGAUUAAUUCGAUGCAACGCGAAGAACCUUACCUGGGCUUGACAUGUUCCCGACAGCCGUAGAGAUAUGGCCUCCCUUCGGGGCGGGUUCACAGGUGGUGCAUGGUCGUCGUCAGCUCGUGUCGUGAGAUGUUGGGUUAAGUCCCGCAACGAGCGCAACCCUCGCCCUGUGUUGCCAGCACGUCAUGGUGGGAACUCACGGGGGACCGCCGGGGUCAACUCGGAGGAAGGUGGGGAUGACGUCAGAUCAUCAUGCCCCUUACGUCCAGGGCUUCACGCAUGCUACAAUGGCCGGUACAACGGGAUGCGAC
rnacentral:rRNA from 1 species